AUUGAACGCUGGCGGCAGGCUUAACACAUGCAAGUCGAGCGGGGAAAAGUAGCUUGCUACUGGACCUAGCGGCGGACGGGUGAGUAAUGCUUAGGAAUCUGCCUAUUAGUGGGGGACAACAUCUCGAAAGGGAUGCUAAUACCGCAUACGUCCUACGGGAGAAAGCAGGGGACCUGCGGGCCUUGCGCUAAUCGAUGAGCCUAAGUCGGAUUAGCUAGUUGGUGGGGUAAAGGCCUACCAAGGCGACGAUCUGUAGCGGGUCUGAGAGGAUGAUCCGCCACACUGGGACUGAGACACGGCCCAGACUCCUACGGGAGGCAGCAGUGGGGAAUAUUGGACAAUGGGGGGAACCCUGAUCCAGCCAUGCCGCGUGUGUGAAGAAGGCCUUUUGGUUGUAAAGCACUUCAAGCGAGGAGGAGGCUACUGAGACUAAUACUCUUGGAUAGUGGACGUUACUCGCAGAAUAAGCACCGGCUAACUCUGUGCCAGCAGCCGCCGUAAAAC
rnacentral:rRNA from 1 species